GAUGAACGCUGGCGGCGUGCCUAAUACAUGCAAGUCGAACGCUUUGUCUUUAAUUGAUAUGAAGAGCUUGCUCUGAUUUGAUUUUAUCUGACAAAGAGUGGCGAACGGGUGAGUAACACGUGGGUAACCUACCUCUUAGCAGGGGAUAACAUUUGGAAACAAGUGCUAAUACCGUAUAAUACUAACAACCGCAUGGUUGUUAAUUGAAAGAUGGUUCUGCUAUCACUAAGAGAUGGACCCGCGGUGCAUUAGCUAGUUGGUAAGGUAAUGGCUUACCAAGGCGAUGAUGCGUAGCCGAGUUGAGAGACUGAUCGGCCACAAUGGGACUGAGACACGGCCCAUACUCCUAUGGGAGGCAGCAGUAGGGAAUCUUCCACAAUGGGCGCAAGCCUGAUGGAGCAACGCCGCGUGUGUGAUGAAGGGUUUCGGCUCGUAAAACACUGUUAUAAGAGAAGAACGACAUUGAGAGUAACUGUUCAGUGUGUGACGGUAUCUUAUCAGAAAGGAACGGCUAAAUACGUG
rnacentral:rRNA from 1 species